UACGAAGGGUGCAAGCGUUACUCGGAAUUACUGGGCGUAAAGCGUGCGUAGGUGGUCGUUUAAGUCCGUUGUGAAAGUCCGGGGCUCAACCUCGGAUCGGCCGUGGCGACUCGUGGGCUGGAGCACUGUAGAGGCGGGUGGAAUUCCGGGUGUAGCGGUGGAAUGCGUAGAGAUCCGGAAGAACACCAGUGGCGAAGGCGGCCCGCUGGGCAGUGGCUGACGCUGAGGCGCGACAGCGUGGGGAGCAAACAGG
rnacentral:rRNA from 1 species